UUUCUACUCCCUCCGUCCGAAAAUACUUGUCAUCAAAAUGGAUAAAAAGAGAUGUAUCUAAAACUAAAAUACGUCUAGAUACAUUUCCUUUUAUCCAUUUUGAUGACAACUAUUUCCGGACGGAGGGACUAUUUG
rnacentral:pre_miRNA from 1 species